CCUACGGGAGGCAGCAGUGAGGAAUAUUGGUCAAUGGGCGUAAGCCUGAACCAGCCAAGUCGCGUGAGGGAUGAAGGUUCUAUGGAUCGUAAACCUCUUUUAUAAGGGAAUAAAGUGUGGGAUGCGUCCUAUUUUGUAUGUACCUUAUGAAUAAGGAUCGGCUAACUCCGUACCAGCAGCCGCGGUAAUACGGAGGAUCCGAGCGUUUGCCGGAUUUAUUGGGUUUAAAGGGUGUGUAGGCGGCCUUUUAAGUCAGCGGUGAAAGUCUUGGGCUCAACCAUAGAAUUGCCGUUGAAACUGGGGGUCUUGAGUAUGGUUGAGGCAGGCGGAAUGCGUGGUGUAGCGGUGAAAUGCUUAGAUAUCACGCAGAACCCCGAUUGCGAAGGCAGCCUGCCAAGCCAUGACUGACGCUGAUGCACGAAAGCGUGGGGAUCAAACAGGAUUAGAUACCCCAGUAGUC
rnacentral:rRNA from 1 species